rnacentral:rRNA from 1 species
GAUGAACGCUGGCGGCGUGCUUAACACAUGCAAGUCGAACGGAAAGGCUCCUGCUUGCAGGGGUACUCGAGUGGCGAACGGGUGAGUAACACGUGGGUGAUCUGCCCUGCACUUCGGGAUAAGCCUGGGAAACUGGGUCUAAUACCGGAUAGGACCACAUUUUGGAUGGUGUGGUGGAAAGUUUUUCGGUGUGGGAUGAGCUCGCGGCCUAUCAGCUUGUUGGUGGGGUAAUGGCCUACCAAGGCGUCGACGGGUAGCCGGCCUGAGAGGGUGUACGGCCACAUUGGGACUGAGAUACGGCCCAGACUCCUACGGGAGGCAGCAGUGGGGAAUAUUGCACAAUGGGCGCAAGCCUGGUGCAGCGACGCCGCGUGGGGGAUGACGGCCUUCGGGUUGUAAACUCCUUUCGCUAGGGACGAAGCGCAAGUGACGGUACCUGGAGAAGAAGCACCGGCUAACUACGUG